rnacentral:rRNA from 1 species
AGUCGAACGAGAAUCUGUGGAAAGAGGAUUCGUCCAAUUGAAACAGAGGACAGUGGCGGACGGGUGAGUAACGCGUGAGGAACCUGCCUUUCAGAGGGGGACAACAGUUGGAAACGACUGCUAAUACCGCAUGACACAUUGAGGUCGCAUGGCCUUGAUGUCAAAGAUUUAUCGCUGAAAGAUGGCCUCGCGUCUGAUUAGCUAGUUGGUGAGGUAACGGCCCACCAAGGCGACGAUCAGUAGCCGGACUGAGAGGUUGAACGGCCACAUUGGGACUGAGAUACGGCCCAGACUCCUACGGGAGGCAGCAGUGGGGAAUAUUGGGCAAUGGGCGCAAGCCUGACCCAGCAACGCCGCGUGAAGGAAGAAGGCUUUCGGGUUGUAAACUUCUUUUGUCAGGGACGAGUAGAAGACGGUACCUGACGAAUAAGCCACGGCUAACUACGUGCCAGCAGCCGCGGUAAUACGUAGGUGGCAAGCGUUGUCCGGAUUUACUGGGUGUAAAGGGCGUGUAGCCGGGAGGGCAAGUCAGAUGUGAAAUCCACGGGCUUAACUCGUGAACUGCAUUUGAAACUGUUCUUCUUGAGUAUCGGAGAGGCAAUCGGAAUUCCUAGUGUAGCGGUGAAAUGCGUAGAUAUUAGGAGGAACACCAGUGGCGAA